rnacentral:lncRNA from 1 species
AUGAAUAUUGUUCUUUCUUACAGAAAAGGCAAAACAAUCUCGUGGCACAGAAAUUGGGACAGUCUAGGUCAGAGGUCAGCGAACAUCUCCCGGAAAGGGCCCGAUAUGGGAGAGUUUGAUUGUUCCAGCUUUGCUCAACAAGUCCCUCUCUUCAGUUCAACACAGGUAGGGGUCAUGAGCCUAAAUGUGAGCUCUCCCAUGGAACUUCUCUGGCAGACUUCCUUCCUUGGCACGAUUCAUUAUCAUAGAGGACAGAAGAACUCUGGAACCAACCCAGCCUGGAUUCGAAUCCUGACACUGCCCAUUGCUGGCUGUGUGAUGCUGGGUAAGAUGCCCGAGUUCCGUAUGCCUCCAUAGCUUUACCUGUAAAAUGCUGUAAUCAAGCUCAGAAGGGUGAUGUGAAAAUAAAACAAAAUCAUAUCUUUGAAGAUUUUAACA